GACGAACGCUGGCGGCGUGCUUAACACAUGCAAGUCGAACGGAAAGGCCCUGCUUUUGUGGGUUGCUCGAUUGGCGAACGGGUGAGUAACACGUGAGUAACCUGCCCUUGACUUUGGGAUAACUUCAGGAAACUGGGGCUCAUACCGGAUAGGAUCUCCUGCUGCAUGUUGUGGGUUGGUAAGUUUCGGCGGUUGGGGAUGGACUCGCGGCUUAUCAGCUUGUUGGUGUGGUAGUGGCUUACCAAGGCUUUGACGGAUAGCCGGCCUGGGAGGGUGAACGGCCACAUUGGGACUGCGAUACGGACCAGAAUCCUACGGGAGGCAGCAGUGGGGAAUAUUGCACAAUGGGCGGACGCCUGAUGCAGCAACGCCGCGUGCGGGAUGACGGCCUUCGGGUUGUAAACCGCUUUCGCCUGUGACGAAGCGUGAGUGACGGUAAUGGGUAAAGAAGCAACGGCUAACUACGUG
rnacentral:rRNA from 1 species